UACGUAGGGUGCAAGCGUUGUCCGGAAUUAUUGGGCGUAAAGGGUGCGUAGGCGGGUCUUUAAGUCAGGGGUGAAAUCCUGGAGCUCAACUCCAGAACUGCCUUUGAUACUGAAGAUCUUGAGUUCGGGAGAGGUGAGUGGAACUGCGAGUGUAGAGGUGAAAUUCGUAGAUAUUCGCAAGAACAUCAGUGGCGAAGGCGGCUCACUGGCCCGAUACUGACGCUGAGGCACGAAAGCGUGGGGAGCAAACAGG
rnacentral:rRNA from 1 species